CCUACGGGUGGCAGCAGUGGGGGAUAUUGCACAAUGGGGGGAACCCUGAUGCAGCGACGCCGCGUGGGUGAAGGAGUGCUUCGGCAUGUAAAGCCCUAUCGGCAGGGAAGAAGUAAGACGGUACCUGACUAAGAAGCCCCGGCUAACUACGUGCCAGCAGCCGCGGUAAGAGGUAGGGGGCGAGGGUUAUCCGGAUUCACUGGGUGUAAAGGGAGCGUAGACGGCCAUGCGAGCCAGGGGCGAAAGCCCCGGGGCCAACCCCGGGAUUGCCCUUAAAACUGCAUGGCUGGAGUGCGGGAGGGGCAGGCGGAAUACCUGGUGUAGUGGUGAAAUGCGUAGAUAUGAGGAAGAACACCGACGGCGAAGGCGGCCUACUGGACCGCGACUGACGUUGAGGCUCGAGAGCGUGGGGAGCGAACAGGAUUAGAUACCCGAGUAGUC
rnacentral:rRNA from 1 species